rnacentral:rRNA from 1 species
CAAGUCGCACGAGAAAGUGGAGCAAUCCAUAAGUAAAGUGGCGUACGGGUGAGUAACACGUGGAUCAUCUACCUCUUGGUGGGGAAUAACCUUGGGAAACCGGGGCUAAUACCGCAUAAGCCUGGAAAGGGAAAGCAGCAAUGCGCCGAGAGAGGAGUCCGCGGCCGAUUAGCUAGUUGGUAGGGUAACGGCCUACCAAGGCAAUGAUCGGUAGCCGGCCUGAGAGGGCACACGGCCACACUGGCACUGAAACACGGGCCAGACUCCUACGGGAGGCAGCAGUGGGGAAUCUUGCACAAUGGGGGAAACCCUGAUGCAGCGACGCCGCGUGAGCGAUGAAGCCCUUCGGGGUGUAAAGCUCUUUCGGCAGGAACGAUAAUGACGGUACCUGAAGAAGAAGCUGCGGCUAACUACGUGCCAGCAGCCGCGGUAAUACGUAGGCAGCAAGCGUUGUUCGGAGUUACUGGGCGUAAAGAGUGUGUAGGCGGUUCUCUAAGUUCGGUGUGAAAUCUCCCGGCUCAACUGGGAGGGUGCGCCGGAAACUGGAGGGCUUGAGUAUGGGAGAGGAAAGCGGAAUUCCUGGUGUAGCGGUGAAAUGCGUAGAUAUCAGGAGGAACACCUGCGGUGUAGACAGCUUUCUGGACCAUCACUGACGCUGAGACACGAAAGCGUGGGUAGCAAACAGGAUUAGAUACCCUGGUAGUCCACGCCCUAAACGAUGCAUACUUGGUGUGAGCCGUUCAUUCGGUUCGUGCCGGAGCUAACGCGUUAAGUAUGCCGCCUGGGGAGUACGGUCGCAAGGCUGAAACUCAAAAGAAUUGACGGGGGCCCGCACAAGCGGUGGAGCAUGUGGUUUAAUUC